AAUCUAGGGAAACCUGGGCUAAUACCGCAUAAUACCUACGGGUCAAAGCAGCAAUGCGCUGAAAGAGGGGGUCGCGGCCGAUUAGCUAGUUGGCGGGGUAAUGGCCCACCAAGGCGAUGAUCGGUAUCCGGCCUGAGAGGGCGCACGGACACACUGGAACUGAAACACGGUCCAGACUCCUACGGGAGGCAGCAGUGGGGAAUUUUGCGCAAUGGGGGAAACCCUGACGCAGCAACGCCGCGUGGAGGAUGAAGUCCCUUGGGACGUAAACUCCUUUCGAUCGGGACGAUAAUGACGGUACCGGAAGAAGAAGCCCCGGCUAACUUCGUGCCAGCAGCCGCGGUAAUACGAGGGGGGCAAGCGUUGUUCGGAAUUAUUGGGCGUAAAGGGUGCGUAGGUGGUUCGGCAAGUCUUGUGUGAAAUCUUCAGGCUCAACUUGAAGUCUGCACAAGAAACUGCCGGGCUUGAGUAUGGGAGAGGUGAGUGGAAUUUCCGGUGUAGCGGUGUAAUGCGUAGAUAUCGGGAAGGAACACCUGUGGCGAAAGCGGCUCACUG
rnacentral:rRNA from 1 species